rnacentral:tRNA from 1 species
AGUUCCCGCUUGGUCCUUCCCCAAGAUCUGCGGCCUGAAAAGCCGCCGUUGUAGCCCUCAACCACAGGAAC